rnacentral:rRNA from 1 species
CAACUUUCAACAAUGGAUCUCUUGGCUCUGGCAUCGAUGAAGAACGCAGCGAAAUGCGAUAAGUAGUGUGAAUUGCAGAAUUCCGUGAAUCAUCGAAUCUUUGAACGCACAUUGCGCCCCUCGGUAUUCCGUGGGGCAUGCCUGUUCGAGCGUCAUUU